AGUUAAGCUGACAAACAUUUUGAGAGCUCGCCCCAUUUCAUUCACAGCAGGAUGGCAGUGGGUGACUGAUUGUCCCUGCCAGCUGGCUAAUAUCAUAAUUAACAAAGUUGUUACCACAUCUGCAAAGUUUAAUCGAAAGAUUUACCGGUGGUAUGAUGGCAUUGUCACCAAGAUCACAAAGGACGACUCGGAGUCGACUUCUGCUACGGAUGGAAUGGCAAGGCUAUGUGAACUUGUUCAGCCAAAGGUUAUGCUUCACAUCACCCACCAGGGAGGAUCAUUUCUCAUGAAAACUUUCAAAUUUGAUUUUGAAAAUUUAUUCAGAAAAAUUUAAGCCACGCUUUUUCCCAACACAAGAAAUAAUAUGCUCCAGAGAACCCUCUAAUUCACAGAAAAUGGACUGGGAUAACAUUUGGGUUCUCAUACUACCACAGUCCUCCUGAGAAGGACAGCCAGAACAACACAGGUAUCAGAAGACAGUGACUGGACAUCAUCCUCACAAGGUCACAUCCACCUUGCCCAUCUCUGUUUGUGAUAAUAUCUACCCAGGAUAAAUGGGACAGGAGCAUGGGAAACAAUUUGAAGCAAGAGUGUAUUCAGAGGAGGCUAAUAAUGAAGGGGCCAGGGAAGGAGGCCAAUGCUACAAGGGUUAUCUCACAACCUCAGAUGUUGGAUCAGUCGAAGGAGGCAGAAUCGCUUCUGGAUGACAUUCAGAAAAGCUGGAGUGAUUAUUUGGAAGAGAAAACCCUGCCUAUUCUUUCAAAGGUACAUGAAUAUUGUUGAGACCUGCUCUUCUAAAGGUCCAUCCUUAGAAUCCUACCUUAGACAAAGGAUGCACUCGGAGCCCUGCCACACCUAAAACCACGUUGUGAAGAUCUGCCAAGCUCACUUUUAAUCAUGAGAAAGAAAUUACCCACACGGAGACAGCAGAAAAUGAGAAAGUAGAGCUCGUGCUGCGAAUAAUUCCAGCGAGUGCCAAGGGGCUAGUUGAGGAAUGACUUCAUGAGAUGUUAGUCUAUCUAGAACAGGACCUGAGGAUCUAAGCUGGACCUUUGAGAAAGGAACGACUCCAAAGAAAGACUCCUUUCCAUAUGCUUUUAAUUACUUUUUUACCUGAAUUGUUUAAGAGGCACUAUCAAACUAUAUUCAUCUUUUCUCCUCUCUGUAUUUGUUUUUGCUUGAACUGCUUUAAUAUUAAUAUUGACUCUUGAACUACAUAUUCAUUUUGGACUUUUAAAAGAGAAUUCGAAUAAAACUUUAUUUGUGUUAUUA